rnacentral:rRNA from 1 species
CCUACGGGAGGCUGCAGUGGGGAAUAUUGGACAAUGGGGGGAACCCUGAUCCAGCCAUGCCGCGUGUGUGAAGAAGGCCCUCGGGUUGUAAAGCACUUUCAGUGAGGAAGAACGCCUGGUGGUUAAUACCCAUCAGGAAAGACAUCACUCACAGAAGAAGCACCGGCUAACUCCGUGCCAGCAGCCGCGGUAAUACGGAGGGUGCGAGCGUUAAUCGGAAUUACUGGGCGUAAAGCGCGCGUAGGUGGCUUGAUAAGCCGGUUGUGAAAGCCCCGGGCUCAACCUGGGAACGGCAUCCGGAGCUGUCAAGCUAGAGUGCAGGAGAGGAAGGUAGAAUUCCCGGUGUAGCGGUGAAAUGCGUAGAGAUCGGGAGGAAUACCAGUGGCGAAGGCGGCCUUCUGGACUGACACUGCCCCUGAGGUGCGAAAGCGUGGGUAGCAAACAGGAUUAGAUACCCGAGUAGUC